AUUGAACGCUGGCGGCAUGCUUUACACAUGCAAGUCGAACGGCAGCGCGGGCUUCGGCCUGGCGGCGAGUGGCGAACGGGUGAGUAAUACAUCGGAACGUGCCCAGUAGUGGGGGAUAGCUCGGCGGAAGCCGGAUUAAUACCGCAUACGACCUGAGGGUGAAAGCGGGGGAUCUUCGGACCUCGCGCUAUUGGAGCGGCCGAUGGCAGAUUAGCUAGUCGGUGGGGUAAAGGCCUACCAAGGCGACGAUCUGUAGCUGGUCUGAGAGGACGACCAGCCACACUGGGACUGAGACACGGCCCAGACUCCUACGGGAGGCAGCAGUGGGGAAUUUUGGACAAUGGGCGAAAGCCUGAUCCAGCAAUGCCGCGUGUGUGAUGAAGGCCUUCGGGUUGUAAAGCACUUUUGGCGGGAACGAAAAGGACUGUGCCAAUACCACGGUUCGAUGACGGUACCCGCAGAAUAAGCACCGGCUAACUACGUG
rnacentral:rRNA from 1 species